CUGCCCUCAAAGUUACAACUUGUGCUUUCAGGGUGGAAAACAAAGGUCGCCAUUCCGAUUAGCUGCUAUCUCCCAGUUCAAGCACUUUUGCUGUCUGGACACUGGUUCCUGUGGAUGGGGUGUUACAAGCUUCACUGUCUGAUAUAGAAGUGAUGAGCAUCCAUCAGGACACAUGCCAGAAAGGGAGUCUCUUUGGAAUGACAAACCCUCAUCACCUUAUGAGGAUACAAUGGUUGACAAAUGGUUCUCAAGCACAUCGAAACUUCAACAAAUAAUUCAUGAAAAAGCCAGUCAGUACUAUCUAUUACAGGAAUUGAACGUGGAUCCUCCUGCUACCAGUCAGAGAUGUUACAUUUCAGGCGCUCAUUGACUUUUGGUGAAUCACUUGUUGACUUUGUCCCAAGAUUGAGCUUGCCACAGCUCACUUGCCAAUCUGUUAAUGUUGUGGCGUGUGUUGCAUUUUUCUCUUUGUGUGUUCCAGACUCAGAACGGUUAAUUUGGAUCAGGUCAGGUACGUUUCAUUUAGACAUGGCAAACAUAAAGUGGUGUAUCUCAACACAACUUAGCAGUGGCCUUCAUGCAUAACUGCACACAAACACAGGACACACACACACAGGACAGACACAAACACGUCCCUUUGUGUUCCCUAGUCUCGGGGUUUUACAUAUGCAUCAUCUUCACCAGCUCGCUUGCUUCCUAGCCAUUUUUUCUGCACAUUGUUCACUCUACUUUUAUCGUGUGCUAUAUAAUCUUGUUCAAGUUCUGUCAAACGACGUGUAAUGCUAUAAAAAAAUUCAGAACACUGUGGGUUGAAUGGUAGCGCAUGAAUGCAGGAAGGAAACUGUCAUGUUAUGGCAAGUGUUUACAUAUUGUACAUUUAACUACUUAUUUUAUUGGUUAGCUAUCGCCGGCGUAUCAUGUCAAGCCAUAUUAUAUUAAUUUGGAACACGGUCUUCUUAGUAGCCAGAGCAGCUGAUAGACAGUGAGAACAUAGCCCUGUGUGUUUGUCUUUUCCACCGCAGCCCUUGGGUUUCCUCCCUGAUGGCUACACAUGUCAGGGAUAGGUUUCAGAACCAGUAGUUCCCGCCAAGUGUGAAUUGCUUUUCAGGGGAUCAUCAUGCUGGCAGAUGAAGCGUAUGGUUUAAAUUAUUUGCAGGACAGGAAUUGCGUAGCUUCACACAAAUACUACUACUACGACAUAAAAGUGGUUUCAAAUCUAGCUUUUUUGUGUUCCUGACAUUAUCGCACAAGAUGUAGUAUCCACUAUGAUCCUUUAUAUGGUUGGUAUGUACAGUGAAUCAACAGAUGCUAUUUACAAAUCUGUGUUUUCUACUGUGUUGAAAUGGGGUAGUUUGUAUCUGAGAGCCAUAGUGAAACACAGGCAGCCAAGGACAGAGUUUUGAUGCCCUCGAGAAACAUGGCAACACAUUGCAGGGACUCUGGAUGCUGCCUGAGUUUCCAGAACACACAGCUCAAGGCAGCGGUUAAAUAACAAGACAGUUGCAUGUGUAAGCAGUCCGCUGUUGGAUUUGCUUCUGUCCCAGAUACGUUAACUCAAAGGGAACGCACGGACACAUUCAGAAUGAUACUAGGACUGCGUGUGAAAUAGAAUGAGGAGAGGGGCCCUUUUUCUUGUCUGUUAUUCUAUUGGUUAAAUUGUCAUAUGUGUAUAUUCCAGAGUCUGCUAAUAAAUAUAUCACUUGAGACCUA